rnacentral:rRNA from 1 species
UACGGAGGGUGCAGCGUUGUCCGGAAUCACUGGGCGUAAAGGGCGCGUAGGCGGCUCAUGAAGGCUGUGGUGAAAGUCCGGGGCUCAACCUCGGAUCGGCCGUGGCGACUCGUGGGCUGGAGCACUGUAGAGGCGGGUGGAAUUCCGGGUGUAGCGGUGGAAUGCGUAGAGAUCCGGAGGAACACCAAUGGCGAAGGCAGGGUCCUGGCUGGCACCUGACGCUCAUGUGCGAAAGCCAGGGGAGCGAACGGG